rnacentral:lncRNA from 1 species
CAGGCCUGAACCUUUCAGUCUACCCCAGAAGAGUGCUCUAGUGGACCCUUGAGGGAUGAUCACACUCAAGAGCCAUGGAUAUAACUAGGCACUCAGCUUUCUACAAGCUGAGACAGUCUGAAUGGCGUGUUCUAGAUGAGCAAAGUCCUGUGGGAUCCUUUGGGGAAUGUAAAGCAGCGUGGCACACAGGCAUAUUGUCAGCGUGCAGACUCUGUCCCCUUGCUGCAAGAGGGUUCCCCACCUCUGCCCGAAUCCAUGGUCAAAAAGAUUUGGGUUGCAUCUCAUCGUUCUCAAGAUUAGCUGGAAUUUUGGAUGAACAGGGAUGCUUUAGCUGGGCUGGAGAAGCUCUGAUGCAACUGGCAUUUACCCUGCCAUCCUGAUCUGCAGCAGAUUUGUUUCCUUCGUAGGUGUUUCAACACAGUGCUGUUCUGGAGCGACCACUAAUAAACCAUUACUAAAUAAAUAAACA